ACCCAAGUGCCUGAGACAGGACCCCAGCGGCUCCACCAUGGACUUGGUGCCAAGCUGCGUUUUCCUCCUAAUCAUUUCUCAAGGUGUCCAGUGUGAGGAGCAGCUGGUGGAGUCUGGGGGAGGCCUGGUGCAGCCUGGGGGGUCUCUGAAACUCUCCUGUGCAGCCUCUGAAUUCACCUUCAGUAGCUACUGGAUGAGCUGGGUCCGCCAGGCUCCAGGGAAGGGGCUAGAGUGGGUCGCACUCAUUAGUACUAGUGGUAGUACCAUAUACUACGCUGCCUCUGUGAAGGGCCGCUUCACCAUCUCCAGGGAAAAUGACAAGAACAUGCUGUUUCUGCAAAUGAGCAGCCUGAGAGCCGAGGCCACGGCCUUGUAUUACUGUGCGAGAGACACAGUGAGGGGAAGUCAGUGUGAGCCCAGACACUAA